AGAGUUUGAUCCUGGCUCAGAAUCAACGCUGGCGGCGUGCCUAACACAUGCAAGUCGCACGAGAAAGUGGAGCAAUCCAUGAGUAAAGUGGCGUACGGGUGAGUAACACGUGACUAACCUACCCUUGAGUGGGGAAUAACUGAGGGAAACCUUAGCUAAUACCGCAUAACACCUACGGGUCAAAGGAGCAAUUCGCUCGAGGAGGGGGUCGCGGCCGAUUAGUUAGUUGGCGGGGUAAUGGCCCACCAAGACUGUGAUCGGUAUCCGGCCUGAGAGGGCGCACGGACACACUGGAACUGAAACACGGUCCAGACUCCUACGGGAGGCAGCAGUGGGGAAUUUUGCGCAAUGGGGGAAACCCUGACGCAGCAACGCCGCGUGGAGGAUGAAGUCCUUCGGGACGUAAACUCCUUUCGAUCGGGACGAUAAUGACGGUACCGGAAGAAGAAGCCCCGGCUAACUUCGUGCCAGCAGCCGCGGUAAUACGAGGGGGGCGAGCGUUGUUCGGAAUUAUUGGGCGUAAAGGGUGCGUAGGCGGUUUGGUAAGUCUUAUGUGAAAUCUAUGGGCUCAACUCAUAGACUGCAUGAGAAACUGCCGGGCUGGAGUGUGGGAGAGGUGAGUGGAAUUUCCGGUGUAGCGGUGAAAUGCGUAGAUAUCGGAAGGAACACCUGUGGCGAAAGCGGCUCACUGGACCAUAACUGACGCUGAUGCACGAAAGCUAGGGGAGCAAACAGGAUUAGAUACCCCAGUAGUCC
rnacentral:rRNA from 1 species